UUAUAGAAAAUAACUUUGAAUCACCAAAAGUAGCAUAUGAUGGAAUCAUAUUUGAAAAACUUGGGUGUUGGUUAGACAGUUCAAAUCGAACAUUAACUAAACUUGAAGGUGCCACUGUCCUUGAUGGACAUUAUUCAAGUCGUGUUGAUCCUUUUGGUAAAUGUUACAGAGCCGCAACAGAAAGUAAAUACAAGUACUUUGCUUUGCAAAAUGGUGGUCAAUGUUUUGCAGGAAACAGUACGGUUUACCAACUGUUAGGAAAAUCAACUAAUUGCCAACUGGAUGGAGAAGGAGGGCCAUGGUCAAAUGAAGUCUAUACAGUAAAUAGUGAUAUUCUUGAAGUGAACGAUGAGCUAGAAUAUAGAACUUUUUUGUAUAUUACUUUUCAAAUAUACUAUUGGAAUCUUGGUGAACCAGCUGUUAAUAUAUCUUGGGAAUACUUUUUUCCACCUUUCAUAAUACUUCUAUUUAAUUAUACAUCAGUAGACUUUGUUUAUAGUGGUCCAAACACAU
rnacentral:lncRNA from 1 species